UGAAUCUAUGAGAGGAAUAUGGAAUCAUCUCAUCUUCAUGCUACUUCCAGUCAACUAAGCUUACUUAUUUAUUUAGUUUGUAGUUCAUUUUUAUUACAGGAGGUGAUUUGAAUUAAAACAAAAAUUCUGUGGUGUCUGCGGUCUGCCUAAAUCAAAUUUCCAUCUCUACAUUAAUGAAUAGGUAUGGAGUUGCACACUGUUACUUCAAAACACCAAGAUUGUUUGAUGCUUGCUACAUAGUAAUGAUUAAUCACUAAAUAGAAUAUCUGUUUUCUUUAAUAAGUGUUAUGUACAUAAUCGUAAAUUGGGCAAACAUGGAUGACGUAUAACUCCAUGAUGGAAUUUAUUGCCGAAUCAAAUUUUGUAUAUGUACACGAAUACAAAUUAAACUCCUGGAUGGAUUUGCAGAGUAUGAGCCAUCCAUGGGACAAAACAACGUGGCAAAUAGUCUCAAAUGGCACAGAUGGGGUCGAAAGAGCACAUGGACAUUUGGGCUCCAUCUGGACCAAACUGCCAUUGUCAUGAGAGCCAAAACAAAUUUUCACUGAAAAGGUUUUUCUGUGCUACUCCUUGCUACUCCUUGUUAUGUAUUGACUCGCAAAUAGAUCCAGGUGAAUGUCUAUGCUACUGUUUCUCUUCGGAAAAAAAUAGAUCCUGAUAAAUGGAUGUAUAUCUAUGCUGGAUGAUCGUCAUUCUUUUGCAAGUCAUAAUAUGCAUCUAUACAACUCAAAUAUUCUAGAAGGAUGUUGACCAACUAACCAUGUAUUAAUUGUAUAGUAAAAUUCGUUAUUUUAUUUCUACCCAAACUGAGUUCUAACAAUAAAUAUAUAAUUCUGGUACAGGCUUCCGAGGACAGUUACACCAAUUCUAGAGCAUAUAUUGUCCUCAAUCCUCCUGAUUUUCCUACCAUCAUUUCCAUAGUAUUCGAGUUGUAAAGCCCCGGCCUGUGGUAUGUGAUUAAUAUUGGGUUCCUGACCUUGAAAAGUUUAUUGGCUGAAUAGUACUUGAUUCUAUCAUGUUUGUGUAGGGUGAAUUGUUUUUGCCGGAAAAUAUCGUCACAUGUAUCAUUUUAGUAUGGUAUUUAUGUCUUAGGGUGCGGGAAAUAAAUGUACUCCCUCGGUAAAGAAAUAUAAGAGCAAUUAGAUCACUACUUCAGUGAUCUAAACGCUCAUAUAUUUCUUUAUAAAGGGAGUACUAAACUAUUUCUUCCAUGUAGGCUACUAUGACUUAGAGGAAGUAAUUGUUUCUGAUGAAUUGUGAAAUCUAGGCGCCAUGGAUGACAACUGUUCGAGCAGUUAAUCAUAUCUUAUUUUGUAUACCAUUCUACUUAGAUUGUGAACUGUUAUGUGAACUGGAGAAGUGACUAUCUUUUUUAUAUAACUAAAAUGCAGGAUCUAACUGAAUAGUUUGUCAUGUCCAUGAAUCGGCUGUUUCAUUGAGCCUGGUCUGUAUCCACAUAACCAUGAGACAAAAUAUUUCAUCCAGUAAUUAGUGGACAUAUCGAAUACGGAGAAUCAACAUCACAGUUCUGAGGAGCUUCAUUUCCCAAAAUGUCUGGAGCAUAUCAUCUUGAUCAUUUUUGAAGGAUGGGUGCUGGACUUGGCACAUUUUCGAGAGGAGUACACUCUCAAUAAAUGUUGGUUUCUGAUGGAAUUAUGUAUAUGUAUCAUGCGCCCCUAUCAAUUGAACACGGGAAACAACAAUGGUUAUUAUGUUAUUCUCUUGUGGUUGUGCAAAUGCCGGAAGAAUUGUCACCUUGUAUAUUUCUUAUUGUGCUUGGAGAAGUGCUUGUUGAAAUGACUUAGUUAUAUCAAUUAGUCAUUGGUACUAAAAUUGCACGUACCCAUGAAAUACAAAUGACCAAG
rnacentral:lncRNA from 1 species